CCUACGGGUGGCAGCAGUGGGGGAUAUUGCACAAUGGGGGGAACCCUGAUGCAGCGACGCCGCGUGGGUGAAGGAGCGUUUCGGCGCGUAAAGCCCUAUCGGCAGGGAAGAAGGAGGACGGUACCUGACUAAGAAGCCCCGGCUAACUACGUGCCAGCAGCCGCGGUAAUACGUAGGAUCCGAGCAUUAUCCGGAGUGACUGGGUGUAAAGAGUUGCGUAGGUGGCAUAAUAAGUAGCUAGUGAAAUCUGGUGGCUCAACCAUUCAGACUAUUAGCUAAACUGUUAAGCUCGAGACCGUUAGGGGUAACUGGAAUUUCUAGUGUAGGAGUGAAAUCCGUAGAUAUUAGAAGGAACACCAAUAGCGUAGGCAGGUUGCUGGGACGGUUCUGACACUAAGGCACGAAAGCGUAGGGAGCAAACGGGAUUAGAUACCCUUGUAGUC
rnacentral:rRNA from 1 species